CCACCUCACCUUCAUCCUCUACACCUUCCUCUCUACCAUACUAUGUUCUCUCCUCAGACUUAGAACCCUCUGACCCCCAAUCCCCCACACUAGCCCAACUUCAGGCACAUGCUCUUGCCUCACAACAACAACCACAACCUGAACCAGAAGCCAUCACUCCACCUCCUGGACAACAAAAUCCACCACAAUCUGAACAACCACCAACACCACCUCCUGCACAACCAG
rnacentral:lncRNA from 1 species